AUAAAUUUUAUUCUUAAAAAUGUAAAUACAUAAGAAUUGGUUGGUAUUUAUGUAUAUGCCCCAUUUUUAUUCAGGUUUGAACUUACUUCUUGCAGUAAGUCUGCAACUCCUUCUCAGGGCACUUGAAACUCAUUAGUUCAAAGAACUCCAAAACAUGCUCCCUUGGGUCCUGAUACUCAAUUUUCCGCUCAGACAAGUAUAAUAUCGUUAAAGAGUUUUAGUUGCUGGCUGGAGGAGUGCAAUCACUGCUGUCCCUCUAAGAAUGUGAACUGAUUGCCUGAGGGAAUUCAAUAUCUGGUAUGUGGUGAAGCUAUCAAGACCAGUUGAAAUUUCUUCCAUGAAAAAGCGCUUUUGAAGGGCCAACCAAGAUUUUGAUUACAAUGGCUUAGAGCGAGUCACAAUCAUCAAGUGGGAGAGAGGGAAUCUACUGUGAUAAAUUCUAGAUACAAGUCAUCUGAUGUAAAGUGUUAUCUAGUCAAGCAGAGAACCUGUCGGCAAGACACAUUCAAAGCGAAUCUUGCAGAGAAACUAGAACCUUCUCAGUGGAUUACCUCAUUUUUAUUGGCAGAAGGGUUUUU